rnacentral:rRNA from 1 species
UUGCCUACGGGAGGCAGCAGUGGGGGAUAUUGGACAAUGGGGGAAACCCUGAUCCAGCGACGCCGCGUGGGUGAAGAAGUACUUCGGUAUGUAAAGCCCUAUCGGCAGGGAAGAAUUUAGACGGUACCUGACUAAGAAGCCCCGGCUAACUACGUGCCAGCAGCCGCGGUAAUACGUAGGGGGCAAGCGUUAUCCGGAUUUACUGGGUGUAAAGGGAGCGUAGACGGCCAGACAAGUCUGAAGUGAAAAUCCAGCGCUUAACGUUGGAAGUGCUUUGGAAACUGCCGGGCUAGAGUUCAGGAGGG